UACGGAGGGUGCAAGCGUUGCUCGGAAUCAUUGGGCGUAAGCGUACGCAGGCUGUUCGUCAAGUCUGAUGUGAAAGCCCGGGGCUCACCCCCGGAAGUGCAUUGGAAACUGGUGGACUCGAGUCCCGGAGAGGAGAGUGGAAUUCCUGGUGUAGCGGUGAAAUGCGUAGAUAUCAGGAGGAACACCGGUGGCGAAGGCGGCUCUCUGGACGGUGACUGACGCUGAGGAGCGAAAGCGUGGGGAGCGAACAGG
rnacentral:rRNA from 1 species